rnacentral:tRNA from 1 species
AGAGAGUUAGUCCAAACAAGACCUCUGAUUUCGGCUCAGAAAACCACAGUUAAAAUCUGUGACUCCCUU